rnacentral:lncRNA from 1 species
UGGUGGUUGAGAAAAUCAAGGGAGACUUGGUUUUGGUUGAGGGACCCGUGGAGAAAAGUUUGUUGGAGCAAAAUUUGGCACGUUUGGCUGACUGCUUCAAAGCGUACUUCAUGGAUGCGUGACGGUCGUCAUGGGCCUGUGACGGCCGUCAUAGGCUGGGUCGUGACGGUCGUCAUGAUCUGUGACGGUCGUCACAUCAACAAAUUCUGCAUUUCUUAUUUUCUGCUUUUUCAGUGCUUUCUCAUCUGUUUCUUCUUAUUUUU